rnacentral:rRNA from 1 species
CCUACGGGAGGCAGCAGUAGGGAAUAUUGCUCAAUGGGGGGAACCCUGAAGCAGCAACGCCGCGUGGAGGAUGAAGGUUUUCGGAUUGUAAACUCCUUUUGUUAGAGAAGAUAAUGACGGUAUCUAACGAAUAAGCACCGGCAAACUACGUGCCAGCAGCCGCGGUAAUACGGAGGGUGCAAGCGUUACUCGGAAUCACUGGGCGUAAAGAGGGCGUAGGCGGGAUAGCAAGUCAGAUGUUAAAACCUAUGGCUUAACCAUAGAAGUGCAUUUGAAACUGUUACUCUAGAGUGUGUGAGAGGUAGGUGGAAUUCUUGGUGUAGGGGUAAAAUCCGUAGAGAUCACGCAGAAUGCUGAUUGCGAAGGCAACCUGCUAGAACAUAACUGACGCUGAUGCGCGAAAGUGUGGGGAGCAAACAGGAUUAGAUACCCGAGUAGUC